rnacentral:lncRNA from 1 species
UCAAUAAAGCAGCUUAAUUAGGUGUGAGCCUUAACAACGCUGACAAACGUGUGAACUUAGUUGAACCGACAUACAAAUGUGUUUCUGCAUCAGUCGACAUUGUCUCAUACACAUGAGCUUUGGCAAAAUUUUCUGCUCCAACAUCGCGGAUCAUGUCCUCUAAUUUGUCUUCAUCUAGUCGAUCUUCUUCCAUGGUGGAAUCAAUAACAUUUUCAGUUUGGGAGUCAGUGGAAAAAUGCAUUUCUUCGUCCUGCCAUAUCCAUGUUUUAGGAAACCAUCACAGAUAAGAUGUUCUCUAAUUUGGGUUGCGUUCAACUUUCUCCCAUUCAAACAGUUCACACAAGGACAUCUAAACUUCACUUCAUCAUCACUUGUACCCUCAUUACGUUGUGCAAAUUGUAUAAAUUCCCUCUACCCUUCUCUCGUACUC